rnacentral:rRNA from 1 species
GACGAACGCUGGCGGCGUGCUUAACACAUGCAAGUCGAACGAAGAGCGAUGGAAGCUUGCUUCUAUCAAUCUUAGUGGCGCACGGGUGAGUAACGCGUAAUCAACCUGCCCUUCAGAGGGGGACAACAGUUGGAAACGACUGCUAAUACCGCAUACGAUCUAAUCUCGGCAUCGAGGAUAGAUGAAAGGUGGCCUCUACAUGUAAGCUAUCACUGAAGGAGGGGAUUGCGUCUGAUUAGCUAGUUGGAGGGGUAACGGCCCACCAAGGCGAUGAUCAGUAGCCGGUCUGAGAGGAUGAACGGCCACAUUGGGACUGAGACACGGCCCAGACUCCUACGGGAGGCAGCAGUGGGGAAUCUUCCGCAAUGGACGAAAGUCUGACGGAGCAACGCCGCGUGAGGGAUGACGGCCUUCGGGUUGGAAAGCUCUGUUAAUCGGGACGAAAGGCCUUCUUGCGAAUAGUGAGAAGGAUUGACGGUACCGGAAUAGAAAGCCACGGCUAACUACGUG